UGUUUGACCAAAAUUAAGAUUUGUUCGCGUCAGGUCAAACUUGGGGAUUUUUAUAAUGAUUUUUGAAACUGGAAAUUAUUAACAAGUGAACGCCCAAUUUUGUCCCUUCCACCUCCUCUGUCCUUAUUAGGGUUACCGUUGGGGAAGAUAGAGGGAGCGACACGGCACCGCCAUUUCGUCAAUCGUCUUUAUCGACAAGAAGAACAAGGCGACGGAGAAAACAGAAAUCCUGGAACAAAUCUAACAAGGUUAGGAGAAAUCGAGACGGCGGGAUUUUUGAAUGACGAAGAAUGAACAACAGCAGCGAUGGGAGUGCGGAGCCUGCGGGUUGGCCGAAAGGUGGCUCCUCCACUCGGUCCGCCAGCGAGGGGUUUACCGGAGACUCUGCACCGACUGCGUUCUCAAGAGCCAUCAAGGUCUGUUCUGUCCUCUCUGCCUCAAUGUCUUCGAGGACUCUCCUCCGCCUCCUAAUGCUCGCCUCAUUUGCUUGAACUGUCCUUCGAUCACUCAUCUCUCCUGCUCUCCUUCUUCUUCUUCCUCUUCCUCCUUCCUCUGUCCUCCGUGCUCAAAACCUAAUUUCUCCUUCUUUCCGAUAUGCUCUUCCGUGCCCGAUUCGGCCUUAGAUCGUCAUUCUGGCCAGCGAGUCAUCGAUAAGAACUCCGCCAAGGCGCUUUUAGCGGCUGCUAAGAUCUCUGGGAUUUCGAUGACUAAAGCGGCUGUAGUGGCGCGGGUUGAGGCCGAGAGGAGGGUGAAAGAGGCUGCUUUGGCCAAGAAGAGAGCCAGAGAGGCACUAGAGAAACUCGCCCACUUGGCCGCCAGUGAUAAGGCUGCUAACAAAGAAUCACCACGUAAGCUCAACAAUGGAAAUGGCAGCAGCAACAACCACAAGGCUUUCAACAGCUCGCGAUAAGAUUUGAGGACGCAAACAAGAAGUUUUCCCCAGGCUGGUUGAAUCCAAUUCCAGAAAGAGGUGUUUCCCAUUGACAGCAUUAUCUUGCCUUCGAUCCACUUCUCCCUGAGAUGCUUGCUGAGAUUGCUGUUGACUGGUUGUAAAAUUUUUUGUUUAUCCAAUCAUGUUCUUUGUAUCUUCGUCACCCUCAUCUAUAUUUCUAUGGUUCUAUAUACCUCUUUCUCCUUCAAACCUCUAUAAUUUUUUUGAUUAAAAAAAAUUAAAUAAGAGCCAACCCCUUCGACCCAUUUCUUUUUCCUACAGAAGAUGUAAAGGUCCCUUCCUUCAUUUUCAGACCCUUCUUGCAAAAUUUUGUCAAAUGGAGCAAGUCCCUUGUCCUUUCUUCUUGAAUUUUUCUUUGGUCUUCCUAAUUUCACUUUUAACCUAGGUGGUUCAAUCGGAUCAAUGCCAGUGACUGACCAUAUUUCCUUGCUUCUCGCCCGUGCCGAGUAGACUUUGCAUGGGAUGUCUGAAAGAUUCCAUGUUUUGCAUAUGCACGUUUUCUAUUUAUCUAGCAUGUCUCUUUUCACCUUCGAUAACCUAAUAACUUCAGUCACCGUUUCAAUCUACGAAAUAUAAGAUGGUAUCGACCUUUUUCCUCGUUUACCCAUGUCAUUGUUUGGGGUGAGAUUUAUUCGUCCGCCUGUGGAGAUAAUUUUAUAACCGUCCGCUCGUAUCUCAUCUAGAAUGGUGGUGAUUGACUUGCAUCUUUUAUUCAGAAUUCAGCCACUAGACAUUUCUGCAUGUUGUUGUCAACAAUGUCUCACUUUGAAAAUGCACUAAAAACCUUUUUCUUCUCCGUCAACUCUUUUCGAAAUAUAAAAAAUUCGGUUAAAUUUUUAAUUUAUUAUUUAAUUUUAUUAAAUUAAAUAUUAUAUUUACUAAGUAAUGAAUUUUAUGUUUUUGGCUGAUAUUCGAGAUCACGA